UGGCUGCUAAAGCUAUUCUCUUAGUAUUUGAAGGCGUUUUGGUAUUAAGAAUAAAUUUUCACAAGAGUUCCAUCUUAUGCAUGAAUAUGGAGGAAGGAGAACCUUCUAUGUUUGCCUCUUGGAUAAACUGUAAAAAGGAUUCCCUCCCUUCACUUGGAUCUUCCUCUAAUAAGAUUCUUAAGUAACAUUAGCUGCCUCAGAGAAGAUCAACUCGAGAAUAGCUUCAUGGAAAGG
rnacentral:lncRNA from 1 species